AGGAAACCUACUAAAACCUUGAAUGAAUGACAUAAAAGAAGCUUCUAAGUCACAAACAUGGUCCAACCCAGUUCACAAGGGCCACAGACCAGCCACCCACCUCCCAGAAAAAUCCCCUCGUGAGAAAAACUCCUCGUUGGACUGACUGGAGGUAAAGGGUUUAAUUUAGUAUAAAUAUGUAGAGCAGG
rnacentral:lncRNA from 1 species